rnacentral:sRNA from 1 species
UGAACCCUCUCAAUGAUGUUGAUUUUUCAUAUUUUGCAAGGUCCCUAACCAUUUCUAUCUUAACCCCUAACCUAAUCUCAAAACUUAAUCUCCUAAUCUAAGCCCAGAGUGUAUUAUGUGUCGGUGCAAAAGUUCAAUGUCCGUACUAUCAACCAACCUUCUAUCUCUAUCAAUUCUUUUAGAAAAUUCAUAUUAUAUAUAGUUAUAGCGAUCUGAUAUUUAUAAAAAAUUACAUGUUUAUAAUUAUUUAGUUGAUUCUAAUUAAAAAGAGUUAAAAAAUCACAAUCGUAAUAUUUAAUCUACCCUUAUGUUAGGCCAGUGGGGC